GCCGGGCGUGGUGGCGCACGCCUGUAAUCCCAGUUACUCGGGAGGCUGAGGCAGGAGAAUCGCUUGAACCCAGGAGGCGGAGGUUGCAGUGAGCUGAGAUUGCGCCAUUGCACUCUAGCCUGGGCGACAGAGCAAGACUCUGUUUCAA
rnacentral:SRP_RNA from 1 species